GUAGGGAAUAUUGGACAAUGGGGGGAACCCUGAUCCAGCCAUGCCGCGUGGAGGAAGACUGCCCUCUGGGUUGUAAACUCCUUUUAUAUGGGAAGAACCGUCCUCAUUAAUGAGUGACCUGACGGUACCAUAGGAAUAAGCACCGGCUAACUCCGUGCCAGCAGUCGCGGUAAUACGGAGGGUGCAAGCGUUAUCCGGAUUCACUGGGUUUAAAGGGUGCGUAGGCGGAUAAAUAAGUCAGUGGUGAAAUCAACGGGCUCAACCUGUUAACUGCCAUUGAUACUGUGUAUCUUGAAUAUGAGAGAGGUAGGCGGAAUGUUGCAUGUAGCGGUGAAAUGCUUAGAUAUGCUACGGAACACCGAUUGCGAAGGCAGCUUACUAUUUCGUAAUUGACGCUGAGGCACGAAAGCGUGGGUAGCGAACAGGAUUAGAAACCCUGGUAGUCC
rnacentral:rRNA from 1 species